CCUACGGGUGGCUGCAGUGGGGAAUAUUGCACAAUGGGCGCAAGCCUGAUGCAGCCAUGCCGCGUGUGUGAAGAAGGCCUUCGGGUUGUAAAGCACUUUCAGCGGGGAGGAAGGCGUUAAGGUUAAUAACCUUGUCGAUUGACGUUACCCGCAGAAGAAGCACCGGCUAACUCCGUGCCAGCAGCCGCGGUAAUACGGAGGGUGCAAGCGUUAAUCGGAAUUACUGGGCGGAAAGCGCACGCAGGCGGUCUGUCAAGUCGGAUGUGAAAUCCCCGGGCUCAACCUGGGAACUGCAUUCGAAACUGGCAGGCUAGAGUCUUGUAGAGGGGGGUAGAAUUCCAGGUGUAGCGGUGAAAUGCGUAGAGAUCUGGAGGAAUACCGGUGGCGAAGGCGGCCCCCUGGACAAAGACUGACGCUCAGGUGCGAAAGCGUGGGGAGCAAACAGGAUUAGAUACCCCGGUAGUC
rnacentral:rRNA from 1 species